UGGGGAAUUUUGGACAAUGGGCGAAAGCCUGAUCCAGCAAUGCCGCGUGUGUGAAGAAGGCCUUCGGGUUGUAAAGCACUUUUGUCCGGAAAGAAAUCCUUGGCUCUAAUACAGUCGGGGGAUGACGGUACCGGAAGAAUAAGCACCGGCUAACUACGUGCCAGCAGCCGCGGUAAUACGUAGGGUGCAAGCGUUAAUCGGAAUUACUGGGCGUAAAGCGUGCGCAGGCGGUUUGCUAAGACCGAUGUGAAAUCCCCGGGCUCAACCUGGGAACUGCAUUGGUGACUGGCAGGCUAGAGUAUGGCAGAGGGGGGUAGAAUUCCACGUGUAGCAGUGAGAUGCGUAGAGAUGUGGAGGAAUACCGAUGGCGAAGGCAGCCCCCUGGGCCAAUACUGACGCUCAUGCACGAAAGCGUGGGGAGCAAACAGGAUUAGAUACCCUGGUAGUCCACGCCCUAAACGAUGUCAACUAGUUGUUGGGGAUUCAUUUCCUUAGUAACGUAGCUAACGCGUGAAGUUGACCGCCUGGGGAGUACGGUCGCAAGAUUAAAACUCAAAGGAAUUGACGGGGUCAUAGCUGUUUCCU
rnacentral:rRNA from 1 species